GCGGACAGAUGGGAGCUUGCUCCCUGAUGUUAGCGGCGGACGGGUGAGUAACACGUGGGUAACCUGCCUGUAAGACUGGGAUAACUCCGGGAAACCGGGGCUAAUACCGGAUGCUUGUUUGAACCGCAUGGUUCAAACAUAAAAGGUGGCUUCGGCUACCACUUACAGAUGGACCCGCGGCGCAUUAGCUAGUUGGUGAGGUAACGGCUCACCAAGGCAACGAUGCGUAGCCGACCUGAGAGGGUGAUCGGCCACACUGGGACUGAGACACGGCCCAGACUCCUACGGGAGGCAGCAGUAGGGAAUCUUCCGCAAUGGACGAAAGUCUGACGGAGCAACGCCGCGUGAGUGAUGAAGGUUUUCGGAUCGUAAAGCUCUGUUGUUAGGGAAGAACAAGUACCGUUCGAAUAGGGCGGUACCUUGACGGUACCUAACCAGAAAGCCACGGCUAACUACGUGCCAGCAGCCGCGGUAAUACGUAGGUGGCAAGCGUUGUCCGGAAUUAUUGGGCGUAAAGGGCUCGCAGGCGGUUUCUUAAGUCUGAUGUGAAAGCCCCCGGCUCAACCGGGGAGGGUCAUUGGAAACUGGGGAACUUGAGUGCAGAAGAGGAGAGUGGAAUUCCACGUGUAGCGGUGAAAUGCGUAGAGAUG
rnacentral:rRNA from 2 species